GCUGCGGAGAAGCCCGUGGUCGCGCCCCACUUCCCGCCUCGCCUCGUCACCCCGCGCCAGGUGGCCACUGCUCCAAGCUUGGAGCAGAGCCAAAGGUAGUGGAGACACGGACGUCUUAGAGCCCUAAGUUUAAAAGAGAAAGCCUGAGGUAUGCGGGAGUGGCCGGGAAAGCCUGAGGAAUCCUAGCCACCAAAUCGCUACCCCUAGGAGGGAGCAUCUUCUGCCGGCCUCACAAGUAAGGUGGAGCCGGCUCGGCUCAGGGCGCCCCCAAGAGCCUCACCAAAAUCCAGGUGUUUGGACGGAAGCACGUUGGCAGGCCAAGUGCCUUAUUAGUCUUAUUUACCAACUCGUCGCAUUUCUAAAUUUUAACUUCCAUAUUCUCUACAUUCCUGAGGUGCAAGAGGACAUUGAAAUAAAUUUGUCGGCCGCGCGCUAAGGACUUUUUAACGCAUCCCACCCUUUAUGUAGGUAACAAGCUCAUUACUGACACAAUCAGGAUUACCAAAACAAGGAUUUGAAGCCUUUCUAAUGCCAGAGCUGGGGCUUUCAUUCUGCCUGUCAUAGCUUUUCGCUAGGCUCUUCCCAUCCAAAUGGGCAAAGACACGCUUUGAAAGUAAUAUUUGAAAGAAAAACAAAACCAAAGAGGAGGGAAAAAAAAAAACUAUAAUGUAUGGUUCCGUGAAUAUUUUCCCAAAAACUUGAAUCAAUGAUGUAUUUUAUUUUCAAGACGUAGCACUCUUUAUUCAGUUAUCGCUAACCAUUUAAAUUUAUAACGACCUGUUUUUGUCUUUUUUUUUUUUUUUUUUUUUUUUUGAGACAGGGCCUCUAUGUAUCUGAGGCUGACCUCCAACUUGCUGCCAUCCUCCUGCAUCACCCAUACAGGGGCUGGACCAUCAUGCCCAGCUCUAAUUUCUUUAGGAUCAACUUAAAUAGAAUUACUGGGUCAAAGGGAAUCAUCUGUCCUCUGCCUCACAUACCUACAAGCAGCCCAGAAGCGAAGAAGCCAAGCAACCAUGGACUGAAAUCAUGAACCAAACCAUUUUUCCUCUAUAAAGAGAAGAGCUGAUUAUCUCACACAUCACCAUGUAUUUGUCAAAAACACGUUAAGAAAAGGCCAAAAGUAAAGCCAAUUCAAACUACUAGCCUUUGGGUGCCCAAUGUUGGUUCAUCAAUUUUAACAAAUGUACUACCUACAGCAGAGUGAUAACUCGAUUGGGUUGAAAAAUUCUCUUGUACUUCCUGUUCAAUUUAGUUAUAAACCCUGUUAUGACAGCCUAUUUAAAAAGAAAAAUGUAGACUAUGUAUUCAGUACUUAAUAUAUUAUUAUACAAUCAAAAAUAAUUAUUUUAUAACAAUGUGAAUGCUGUGCCCUCUAUCAGUUGAAUGGUUAAUGCCCAAUAGAUGUGAUCCAAAUUAAUUAGGGCCUGCUUUUUAAAUCUUAGAAGAAAGUGUUUAAAAUACAGUCAAGUGGCUUGUGAGAUUCUUCAGUGACACAGCACUUCUCUAUUACAUGCACUGCCAUGGGUUCAACCUCUACCAUCACUGAAAAAUAACCUGCCCCAAACAAACAUAUUUCUUAAUUCUGAUGGCUUCUCAUAACACUUACCAAAUAAACUUUCAUCUAAGAAACAUUAUCCUCUGUUCCUAAAAUAUUCGAAUAGCAUCUGAACUUGUUUAAGUGUAACCCCAUGAAUUUUAUAGGCCAUAGAGAAAGAAUUCCAGGUAUUCUGUCCUUUAAGGCCAUUCAUCCUUUAAAAGGACCAUCAUCCUUUAACAAUAUCCAUAGUUUUCCCAGCAGUUCACCCCUUCCCUAUAGAUUUAAGUAUGCUAAUUAUAUUUGACACCUCACCUAUAACUAUUAAAGAGGAUAGGACUUUUCAUAUUAAAACCAUGUCAACUAAUGGCACCAUUCUGAAAAACUCAAAUUUCUUAGAACCUAUACAUUUUGGAACUGAACUAUCACUAAAGCAGGUGGGUUAACUACUUCAUCAUGAGAUUAUAAUAGUUAAGUGUCCCUGAAUAAAUCACUUUCCAUGAAUAAUAUUUUAGUGUUUGGCACUAAUUUCUUAAGGAACAUCUCUCACCUUCAGAAAUGAUUGAAAACAAUGUGCAUAAUUCAUUUUUUAAGUUAUUUUACUCUCAAACUUUUCUAUCAACUCCUUGAAUAUUAUUUUUAACUUAAUUAUCAUUACCUUUGCCAUAACUUCAGGAUCAGGAUCUUCUAUAGGGUCAGCCCAUUCAACUGUUCCAACAUUUCCCCAGACCUUGACUUUACCACUCAUUAGCCUACGCCUUGCCUGGGCAGCUGUUUUAUGAUCUUCAUAUUCAAGAAAACAAAAGCCUCUGUUUUUUUUCUUGUCAUCCGGUUGGUGGUAUAAAAUGACAUCCGUAAGAC